rnacentral:lncRNA from 1 species
GUUUGUUCCCCUACACUGUGAGUGGCCACUCCCUUCAAAUCCUAGUAGAGUUAUGCUGUAGAAAAUCUCAUUUUUGUCCACCAGCCUGAGCCCGGUAAUAGUAACCCCAGCCCAACCAUCCUAUACCAGGAAGAACUGUCAAGUGCCCUUGUCCCAGCAUGCCUGAAGUAUUCCGGGCAUUGGUAGCCUUGAAGGUCCAGUGUGGGGGAAGAGGGAACAGGAGAGCUUCUCACAGGGAAUAGGAGCAAAGGUCCAGGCAGGGCACCUUCAAGGCGGAGAGAACCUGGAAAUGGAAGACUUACAAAAGCCACACACCGGAGUGUCAGCAAAAUCCUAAGCCCUAAGGGCUCCCAUUGUCACAUGCCUCCCCACCAAUAGCAUGCUCUGAAAUGGUGACACCAGUCUCAGUUAAGGCUGAGUUUACAAGACCACUGUGACCACCAUAACUGAUACAGGAUCAUUUCUCUAGAAAUCCUGGGGUGCGUACGAGGAAAUUAAACUUGUGCAGAAGAUGGUGCGUAAAUAAGUUGGAGCAUGGAGCACGGGGUCAAGGAUAACAUUAGCGUGGCCUGGGAUGCAGUGUGGGGAAUGGCCACGAGGAGGAAGAAAUGAAUGCAAGCAGCAGGAUAGAUGGGACCAACCUCUCACAGGUGGCAUGGAAGGCCGCAGGACUGUCACAUCCACGGCUCUAACCCCAAGUAUAGCCCUGUUUCCCAUGAACAAUGUGAUUAAGGCAAAUGUAUCUGCAUGGAAUCCAAAUAAGUCAUCUAAAGAUUAAUAUUACAGGACUGAUUCCGAGCUGGAAGCUCUGAGACAUAUUUACGCUCGGGGAAGUUGUUUGGUUUUUAUUUCCCCCAUAGCUGGUAUAUAUCAGUGAAGGCUGCAUGUAAUGAAUAACAGCAUGUAUGAUAAAUUUUAAAGCAAAC